rnacentral:rRNA from 1 species
UGGGGAAUAUUGGACAAUGGGGGAAACCCUGAUCCAGCGACGCCGCGUGUGUGAAGAAGGCCUGCGGGUUGUAAAGCACUUUCGGUGGGAACGAAAUAUGCCGGGCUAAUACCCCGGUAGGCUGACGUUACUCAAUGAAGAAGCACCGGCUAACUCUGUGCCAGCAGCCGCGGUAAUACAGAGGGUGCGAGCGUUAAUCGGAAUUACUGGGCGUAAAGCGCACGUAGGUGGCGACGUAAGUCGGGUGUGAAAGCCCCGGGCUCAACCUGGGAACUGCAUUCGAGACUGCGUUGCUGGAGUACGGAAGAGGAGGGCGGAAUUCCCGGUGUAGCGGUGAAAUGCGUAGAUAUCGGGAGGAACAUCAGUGGCGAAGGCGGCCCUCUGGUCCAGUACUGACACUCAAGUGCGAAAGCGUGGGGAGCAAACAGGAUUAGAUACCCAAGUAGUCCCUGAGCGGGCUGGCAAGGCGCAU